CGUCCCUCUUUCUGACUCUUUGCUUUCCCUCCAUAUCUGGGGGGCAGCUGUCUCCUCAGUUGUAGCCCCUGGGUUCCAACAGAGCCAAUCCUGCCUCCGGUUCAGGCCUGGUUUCUCAGAGAAUGACAUUUUCCAGGGAGCAGUGAUGAGUUCAGGGUGCACAUGACCCCAGUGAGAUCAAUCAGGACCUCUGAGACUGAAUUCUAGAACUUGUUUGAAUGAUCAAGAACACAGACUUGCUCUCUGCCUCAGAAUUUGAACCUGGAGGAUGAGUAGGCGGAGCUCCCACACCACCAUGAGUCCACUGGGGAAGAGCCUGUGGAAGAGAGGUAUCUACCCCAAGGAAUCUGGGAAAGGAGUUGCUUUUCCGUGUCAUCACUGCUUUCUGCAUUGAGAAAUUAACAACUGGCUGUGUUUUCCUGCCCCGUAGAUGGAUGGGCAUUCAUCAAUAUCCUUCUCAAAUGUCUUCUACUUGACAAGUUGGGUUUCACAGAAGUCAACUGCAAACCACUUAGCGACCUCACCCUCCACACUCUACAAAUGUCCCUGAUCAUAAAACCAGAACAUCAGUGGUGUGGCCAUUAAAAAAAGCAUCAAAAACCCUCCCAUGCAUACAAAACGGGAGGCUGCACUGUCAAAGCUGCCCGCAGCCCAAGUGUGGUCCCUCCAUGCACGGGGCUGCUGCUGUACUGGGUUUAAUACAGUAGGUCUGCGACACCAUUAAUUUUGCUUGUUCCUCUCCCCUCCCCCAUCCCGUGCUCUCUUUCAUUUCCUCCUCAUAAAUAUGAAGAACGUAUUCCCAA